rnacentral:lncRNA from 1 species
GGGGAGCGCUCCACCGCCCUCGAGGAAGCGUGUGCGCACGCGCUCCCAGCUGGUUCGCUCCUGGCGCUCCGAGGGCAGGAAAAUCGAAGACCCAAACUGGCGCCUGCGCACUAGGUCUCCGCCGCUGCUGUGGUCUCGCGCCCCGCCCCCCGUCCCCCCACCUCUCCCCAGGCUCGCGCUCAGCCACGGCUGUGUCGGUGCAGCUGGGAGCAGACGCACCCGAGGUGAGGGUGGGGGGGGUCCGGGGUCCACCGACCGCGGCCGAGCCGGCGCGCCUCUCCCACCCUCCCCGCACCUCCAGUCUGGCCCCCACGGCUGACAUUUGCGCGGCCAAAAGCGGCCCACGGGCAGGGCGCGGAAAGGGAGUAGGCGCGAGGCCGGGGACGAGCGGGCGGCGGCGAGGGAGGGGCGCAACCCAGCCCCCUUCCUGGCCCACAGCGACCCCGCCUACGUCGCGGGACGAGGACCCUCGGAGGAGCCUCUGUCUGCCUCCAAGCCAGGACCCGGCCCCCCUAAGUUCUGAGUCCACCUGCUCUUAUGCCUCUGUGAUCAGAACCAUGCCUCUUCACCUCUCCAGGCCCUAGCUUCCACAUCUGCAAGCUGGCUAUGAAGAGCUGGGUCUGCAUCAUCCUCCCAGGUUUGUAGGGACCAGGAGGGAUGCACACAUGCACGCUUUGUCAGUUUGCUGGGAUGAUUUCUUCUGGAGGCAUGGAAGGUGGUCGGGUCUCAAAGCCCCAGUCUUUCCUUGGAAAAGCUGACCUCCCUGUCCCCAGCUUGGGAAACUGUUACCCCAGUGAGGAUGGCAGUUGCACCAAACCUUCUCUCACCCAUGCCUUGCCCUGGGAGGGAAGGGUAGGGACCCCAGGUAUGUGAUGCCUGCUGCCAAGAGACACACAUCCGAUUUAUACCCAAGGCCUCCUAUGUGCUCAACAAGUCCCAGGAAUCCCAUCCCCAGCUCCCAAGUGCUACUCUGGGGUAGGCAGGGUCUGAUGUGGGCACCCGGUAGGACCAGAGGCAGCCCCACACACCCACGACCCUUUGCCCUUCUUCCUCAGUUCUCUACCAGGUUACUGGGGUAAGUGGGGAUGUCUGGGCUAUUUUCUUGGCCAUGCUGGACACCCCAGAGGGACCGGGCCAUGAGACUUGCCCCUAAGGGUGUCCUGAGCCCUGGUGACAGGCAAGCAAGGGUUAAGACAUAUGGGCUGGCCCAGUCCCUGGCCAGGUAGGCUGGGCUGUUGCCUAGUGGGAGGUGGCCUAGGCAUCCGCCACUAAGCUCACUGCUCACCCACUCCUCACCCGCUCUGCUCACUGCCACUACCAGCUGGAACAGGGCCUGCUUGAGACAACUAUUUUUUGAGGUACCUGAGGCUACCUCACAGCACCUGUCUGGCAUUGGUGAGCACCUGGAAACAGGGGGCCCAGGGGCAGGGUCGGGGGAGAAGGGUAUAGGGUAUACAGAGGCUUCCUGUGGGAGAAAGCCAGGUCUGUGUGAGGGGUGCAGUGAAGAAGGAGGGCCUGAGUAGAGGAGCGAAGCCCAAAACAUCCAAUUUCCUCUCCUGGCGUGAAGCCGAUUCCUUGCCGGAAAUGAACGAGGGGAAGGAAUGGGGGAGAAGAGAAGCCAGAUUCCCCCCUUCUCCACUGUCCCCCCUACUUCCUCUCCCCCUUCCUCCCUUAGGGAGUAGCCUCUGCCUUCCUGCAACCUGGGACCUAGCCCCUCGGGAAAGCCCAGACUGGGCUAUUGAGAAACUACUUCCCGACACCUGCCUGCCCCCCAUCUGUUCACCCAGAGUUUUGGGAGGAGGGCUCUAGGUCAGUGAAGGGAGCAGUCCCAGACAUUGGGAGUUUGUACUUGGCUUGAUAGUGGCAAGAUAUGGAAAUGGGGGGGGGGGUCCCACUGAGGGUGCUAGGGUGCCACCCAGGUGAGGUGUCUUGGUUGUAAACAGUCAUUACAGCCAGGAAUUUCUUUCUCGGCUGUGGUGUCAGAAGGACAGACCUGAAAAACCUGCUGGGCCCGCCUCUGGGUGUGUGUGUGGGGUACCCUCUGCAGCUCUCCUGCUGCAGCCUAUCCUAAGACAGGACUUGGGGGCUGGGGUGGGGGAGUGUUAUGGCAGGGGACCGCUGGGAUCCCCCUUCUCACAGUCUCCAGGUGGGGAUGAGGCAGUUCUCAACCCUGGGGCAAAUAUGCAGAGAGGGCAGGAGAGUCAAAGGCAGAGGUUUGGGAGCUGGGUGUGGGGGUGUGGGGUGUUGACCCUGUGUCUAGCCUACCCAGUGACCCCAUGACUCAGGCCUAAGCUAUGUCCCCGAGGUCAGGCUGACAGGGUGGAGUAGGGGUUCCUGUCUAGACCCCGUGUUGACUUCAGGGCCAUGAGCUCUCAGGGAAGGAAGGCUCAAGGCAGUCCAGCGUCGGAUGUGGGAGCAAUCCUAAUGAAUGGGCCCACUGGGGAGGAGUUGAAGUUCCUGUCAGGGUGGAGGAAGGUUUAGGGGAACCCUGGGAGAGUUCCUCAGACUCAAAGGGGCUGGGGAAGAAGGAACUCCAGGAGCUUAGGGGCUGAAGAGGCUGAGCUGGGACCUCGAGGAAACCCUGCCACGCUGGGCAGUAUCAGACCUUGGAGUGUGGGCAUCUGCAAAGCGCACAUUGCUGCCGGGAAGUGCAGGGAUGUGCAGAAAGGCUCUAGGGACUGACCCCUGACCCUGAGGUUGAGUACAGGGAGCCACUGUUUUUUGGGAGGCAUACAGACUCUGUGGAGUCAGUAGCAGGACUGGUGGCAGCAUAUUAGCAGCUUGGCCCCAUCACCUGGUAGAUAGAUGGGGAAGGGGCUUGAACUUACACUUCUUUAGCUGCCUGGGUCUUCUCCACACCUGGUCCCCAUGGCAUGAC